CAUUUCGUGAGACAAAUGCUAUGAAUACAUAAAAAAACUUUGAACAAUUCAACGCUAAAAUAGCUGAAUGGUUUAUGACUUGGGUUGGUACCCAGCAGCCUCGGGUUCGAGACUUGCUCUUUGCAGCUUUUGCAAAUUAAAUAGAGCGAAACAUAAGAUUCGAACCAGCCUCUCCUGAACCAAAGGUAAAAGCCUGAACCAUUCGGCCAUUCGAGAUCUUACUAAAGACGGUCAAAUGUUUGUAAUUGAAGGUUAUUCUGAACUUUUCCUGAAGAUACCUUCAUGAUGUGGGAUAAUACAAAAAAUUCCGUCAUUAAUUUUCAACGGACAAUGGUCGAGGGGAUAACACCAUAGCCUCUGAAGUUCGCAGUGCUGGUUCGAGACCUGAACCCUCUAAAAAUUUGUCUUUGCAGUUUUUCUCGCGCAUUAGCACCUACUUGAAAGUUUUUUUUUCUUUUUUUUUUCGUCUUCUAAUGACGUCAUCACAAAAAGAGUAUAAAAGGCGUCAAGAACGCGACGCUCAUUCAUGCACUCACCACUGACAGCGAGAGCCACGUCGCUCCGGUCCACCUGCUGCGCCGGCCGUACAACAGCGUUUGAAAGUGACAAGCGUCAACUUGCACUUUGGGAGUGUUCCCAUCUUGCAAAAGUUUGCAGAAGCUAGCGUUAGCAGUUAACAUCUUCAACGACCACCAAAACGCAUUUAUCUGGCGUGCAACCAAACAAUUGAAGCAGUUAACGGUGGCAACGUCUGGACGACAGCGCCGUUUGGCCGAAGGUGCAAACCCUCAAAACGAGCCCGUCCGUCAUGGCCGACUGACUUUCUGCCUGCAUCUGGAACAGAGGAAGCCGAUUGACUGCGAAAUGGC